GGAGGAUUAGCUCAGCUGGGAGAGCAUCUGCCUUACAAGCAGAGGGUCGGCGGUUCGAGCCCGUCAUCCUCC
rnacentral:tRNA from 1 species